CUCCAGUGUUCUUGCCUGGAGAAUUCCAGGGACGGGGAAGCCUGGUGGGCUGCCGUCUAUGGGGUUGCACAGAGUCGGACACGACUGAAGCGACUUAGCAGCAGCAGAACCAUGAAGACCUUUUCUCGUAGAACCGAUCUGUUUUUUUGUUUUGCUACCACUGUCCCACCCCUUCUGUUUCAGUACCUGCCACCCUCUGUUGCAAAUCCCUGUUUAUGUAUGCCUGUCUCCACUAUUGGAUUAUGAGUUCCUUGAAAGCAGGAAUCUCUUCUUCUUCACGCUUUUAUUUGUUUUUGGCCAUGUUGGGCCUUUCUCUAGUUGUGUUGAGCAGUGGCUGCUCCAUAGUUGCGGGGUGUAGGCUCCUCAUUGUGUGGCUUCUCUUGUUGUGGAGCGCGGGCUUUAGAACGUGGGUCCAGUAGUUGGGUCACACAGGCUUAGUUGCCCCACAGCAGGUGGGAUCUUAAUUCUCUGACCAGGGAUCAAACCCUUGUCCCUUGCAUUGCGAGGUGAAUUCCUAACCUCUGGGCCACCAGGGACAUCCCUAGUAUACUAUUUUUUUUCUUUUUCUUAUUUUGGCAAAGAUUUCAACUACUCUCCUUUCUGGCUCAUUUUCUUUCUUUCCCACAGAUUCUUAGGGUAAGAAAAGAUGAGGAAAACAGUCAUUGUACUGAGGAUAUCAAAGGUCAGGAAAGUUUAGUUUUUUCUUUUUUUUUGAAAAGUAGUUCGGAAUACUGGCUGCUAGGGGCUUCAUUUCUCUGAGUUGUUUCCAUAGCAGCCUAAAGUCGCAACCUGGUCUCUUAAGUGUGCUGUAAUUCUACUACAGUUUAUGACAGUGAAAGGAGACACAGUGGGAGAAGGUAGAUCACAUUGGAUUUUCUGAGAAAAUUUCAAGCCACAGGUUGGUUAUUGGGUGAUAUCUCCUUUUUAAAAUCAUCUGGAUUCUAGGGUUUCCAUGGGUGGCUCAGUGAGUAAAGAAUCCACCUGUAAUGCAGGAGAUGCAGGAGAUGCGGGUUUGAUACCUGGGUCGGGAAGAUCCCCUAGAGAAGGAAAUGGCAACCCACUCCAGUAUUCUUGCCUGGAGACUCUCAUGGACAGAGGAGCCUGGCGGGCUACAGUCCACGGGGUUGCACAAGAGUCGGACAUGAUUGAAGCGCCUCAGCAUGCACACGCACUCAUGCACGCACGAAUUCUAUGUAUAGGCAACAAUUGCCCUAGAAAAUUUCCAUGCUUUGGGAAAGCUUACAUAAUUGCUUAUGCAGAUUGCAAAACCAUCCCUUGAUGUGAACUUAACCCAAAGAAGGAAAAAUCCUACUUGAAAUUUCAGGCUUUCCCUCCUGCAGAGACGGAAGCAGGGAUGGGGGAUAUUUGUAAGGGUGGAAGAGGGAGGGUUUUGUGUAAUGAGUGGAAAAAGCAUUGAAGAGUUUAUAAACAGUCACAGUGCAUUGAGGCCACUGCAUCUGAGAUUUUCCGGUGGGGGUUAGGGGGGACACAAAACCAUAAACUCAAUCAUUUGUCCUCAUUUCAGCAGAGAAGGAGAUUGCCCAUUUUGUGUCUUGUUCUUUUAUGUUUUGAAGAUUGAUGUCAAAAUGAAAGCACUGAGCUACUCCUGGUCUUUUCUUUCCUAAUUUGUCAAAUGAAAAUCCACUUCUGAGGUGGUGGGAUUUUGCGCGUGCUACAGAUGAGUUUUAUUCAGAACCUUUGCGAGUUGUGACUUCAGAAAAUUCUUUCUCUUUUUAAUUUUAAGAGAGCAAUGGAAAUCUCAUGGAGAAGCUUGUUAUCGGAAAUCAGUUUAGGAGUCUCUGAUAUGGGAGAGGGUGGGUGGUUUGUAAUAUCAAAUCCAAGGUGGGAGGGAUUUUUCAAAAUUAUUGAAAGCAGGGUACGUGUAGAAGAUAUUAAACUCUUACUAUUAAUAGGGGGUUUCAAGGCCAGGUCCUUUGUUUUCCCAGACAGUCUUGUAGCUUGGAAAGGAGAGCAUCUCUAAAUCCUGGGCUCCUCCUCGUGUAUACGUGUGUGUGUUUGCUAAACAAAAAGACAACGUUCUUUCCCCAGAUCUCCUGGAUUUUGCAGGUUCGGGGCGGCUUGCCCUGUGUAAGACAAUAAAUAUGCAAGAUAGCAACAAGGCAGUUACUCUAAGGCCUUGGCCUUUGUUGGGAUUAACUGUUACACCAAGAGGCAAAACAGGGCAACAGGGUUUUUUUCACCACUGGCCUUGGCUGUUCCUGGGUGCCAGAUGGCAUUAUAUCCGUGAAAAAAAAAAAAAAAAUGCUGCAAGUUAUAAUGUUGACCAGGCACUGUUACUUCCACUUGAUCACACUGUUUGGGACACGCUUUGAUGUACAAAACACUCCUAAGAUAAUGAAAUGCGUUGGCAGCUGGCUAAUGGCUGGGAAAGUGCAAACCCUGCAUUGAACUCUUCCUCCAGACUAUUCAAUGGCAAGGUAACGGCAGGCCGGGGCUGGACAGGGAGUAAAGAGGCUCGUUGCCAGGCAGGCCCGGGACUCCUGGGCAAGUGGCUGUGGAGUGGCUGGUAUUUUUCUCCCUUCAAUAGAUGUGGUCUGUGCCGGCAGCAAAUGAGAAAUAAAUCCAUCAAGGCCAAGCUCAGGCUGAUUUUGAAGCAGCUGCUGGAAUUUGCAUAAGAGCCUGGUGCACACAGGUAAACAAAGUUGGACCAAAGUGGAGGUGACCUGAGAAUGGUAGUUUUUGUUUCUCUACAAAGUUGGGCCUCAUCUUUAUGCCAAAAAAAAAAAAUGUCUUUUGAAUUAAAUUUGACUUUGCUGCCGCUAAUCUUUUCACUGGCCUGAUUCACUGGGAAAGUAGAGCAUGCAUAAUUGGACAGGGAGGCGUUUGCUCACCCCUCUCUCCCCUGAUGCUACAGGCCAGCUCCAUGGAGGUACACCUCGGGUGGGUAGCAGCCCUGUUGGGAAAUCCUCCUGUACCCUUGGUCCCACAACCCCACCCUACCCUCCACUCAUUUGCUGGCCACCAAAAUUUCUUCUACCACCCAGACUUCCCCCAGCUAAACAGAAACCCUAUUUCAAAUGCCUCCUGAUUCUCUAGUCUGUGCUCUUAUCUAUGUUGUUAGAACAUAAACUCAGGGCAGAAACUCUCCUUUUAGACCAAAGGUCAGGAAAUGACAGGCCAGCCCUGGAACCAGCUCCAGCUGGCCACCUGUUUUUUGUACAGCUCAGAGAGCUAAAAAGAGUUUUUAUAUUUUUAAAGGAUUGGGAAAAGUCAGAGGAAUAGUAUUUGGUGGCACAAGAUCAUUCUAUGAAAUUCAAAUGUUCAUGUCGAGAAGUAAAGUUUGAUUGGCACCCUGCCACCCCGCUCACUCACUGUAUGUAUGGGCUGUGGCCGCUUCUCACCACACAGCUGCAAGGCUGAGCAGUUGCUUCAGAGACACUAGAAUGGACCACCAAGCCUAACCUAUUUACUAUCUGACCCUUUACAGAAAAAGUUGGAUUCCUGCCUUAAGCCUUCUGCAGAGCCACAGAGGGGGUGCUUAAUACACCUUUCCGAUCCUUUCUGAAGUCUGCGAGAGAGUGUCUGGGGUGUUCCCCUAGGGAAAAUUGGGGAACGAAGAGGACGUUGAGUGGAUUUAGAAGAGCAAAAGCAGAAGGAGUCCAUUAUACCUUGUCCUGAAGCUUUAAUGAAUUUUUUUUUUUUUUAAUUUUUGGCUGAACCCCUUGGUGGGGGAAUCAAACCCACACUGCUUGCAUUGGGAGGUGGAGUUGUAACCACUGGAUUCCUGGGGAAGUCUCCUUAAAUGAAAUCGUUAAUAGAGCUGUAUCUAUCACAAACUUGCUGGGGAAAGUAACUUCGUCUCUAUUAUAUCUCAUUUCUCUUUCUCAAAAAUUAAAAGAUUAGACCCAUGAACUUUGUCAUAUCUAAUUUAUACUAAGUGUAUUUCUUAAAGUCUUAAAUUAUAUUAUUAUAGUAUGAUAUUACAAAUAUAAUGUGUUGAAGAAAAAGUAAAAAUAGAGAAUUUAGUCGUCAUUAUGGCUGUUGAUAUUUGCCAUAAGGGCCAACAUGAAUUUCUUUUUUUUGGCCAUGUGGCACAUGGGAUCUUAGUUCCCCAACCAGGGAUCAAACUCACGACCCUUACAGUGAAAGCUCAGAGUCUUAACCACUGGACCAACAGAGAAAUCCCAUGAAUUUUUGAGGAUAGGAUUAAAAUGCACAUUUCUUGAAAGUUGGUGUGAUCAGUCCCAGAUGACUUUGUACUCUGAUUUACUGUUCCUCUACUUGAUAAGCCAUUGAAAGAAAGAGACAAAGAAAGGGGAUUAUAUCAGAAUUCUCUGCUGGGUGAAUUUCCAGCCUGGAGUUGGGGAACUCUGUUGAAAGAGCAGCUCCAGGAGCAUAUUUAACACAGCUGUCUAUAUUUGAAACUGAGAAUGGAGAGUCUAUGCACUCAUUUGUAUUGGCCUUUGUGGCAUUAUAAUAAUGUGAGCAUAAGAUCCCUGAAAGAGAGGAAAGCCCUGUGACUCAUUUCCUGAACUUUCAGGAUUGCACAGCCCUUCCUUAGUGCUCGACUGGAGGGAGAACGGGCCAAAGAAGUGGCCUGUCCCCCAUGCGGCAUCUUGAGACCUAGACUCUCCUAACAGUUGGUAUUUCCAACAAGAGGUCUUCAUAGCUGUUUUGCCUAUGAGGAGUAUCAGAGCUCAGCAUUUUAUAUUAAAUUUGUGAAUGUGUGUGUCUGACAUAUGGCAUUGCAUCAUAGAGACCAGUAUCUCCUUCAAGCUUUCUGCGCGAUCUGGGCAACACCUAAAAUAUGUCCGUGUACAAUUUCCAUGUGUUACACACCAUGCACUUAGGUAACCUGAGACCUGCCUCUGGGAAUAUUUUCUUGAAAAUUUCCAUGCACUUGAGCACAGUGCACAAAGACGAUAUCAGACGGAGCAUAUCCUUCUUCCUGUAUGACAGAUUCAGGGAUUUAUGGCCUUCUUGGCUUCCUGAGCCAAAUGAAGAUAAAUUCCUAUCUUGUUUCAGGAGGUCUUUAGGGUUCCAUGAAGACCAUUUUCUUUAUUGCAGCCAGGCUUUGUUUCAACUUGGAAGGACAAUACUUCAGAAGGAACUGGGGUCCUGCAAACUCACUCCCCACCCAUCCAAAAUACUCUUCUUAUUGUGGUUUUUCUGUGAUUGACUCAUCAGAAUGAUAUUUGUCUGUGACAUAUUUUCCUAAAAUAAAAUAUAUGUAAUAAUUUAUUACAGUACAGCAUGAAUACAUAUUGCUGACCCAGCAAACUAGACUAUGUGUGUUUGAUCAAUGGUUGCUAGUCUGUGCUUACUGAGUGCGUCUGCAAUGUGUGUCGUUUCUUUUAUCGUGGUCUCCCUUUCUGUCAUUUCUUUUUUUGCGUGUGUUAUUUUCAUGGCUUACAGGAAAAGGAAUAGCAAUAGGCAGGCUGGAAAGAAAAAUUGCAAUAGAUGUGAAAAAUGUAAGUUUUAUCACGAGAUGAGAAGAGAAACCAGACUGCAGAGAAAAUAUUUGCAAGAGGCAUGUCUGAUAAAGACUGCUAUUUAGCAUAUACAAAGAACCCCUACAACUCAACAAUAAGAAAAGAAAAAAACCUGGUUAAACAGUGGGAAAAAGACCCAGAUAGAUACCUCAGCAAAGAAGAUAUACAAAUGGUAAAUAAGCAUAUGGAAGGAUGCUCAACACCAUAUUUACCAGGGAACUGAAAGUCGAAACAACAAUGACAUGUCGCUACAUACCUAUUAGAAUGGCCGAAAUCUUGAACACUGACAUCAAAUGCUGGUGAGGAUGGGAACAACAAGAACUCUCAUUCAUCGCUGAUGGGAAUACAAAGUGGUUUAGCCAUUUGGAAGACAGUUUGGCAAUUUCUUACAAAAGUAAACAUACUCUUACCAAAUGAUCCAGCAAUGGCACUCCUUGGUAACUACCUAAAUGAGCUGAAAAAUCAUGUCCAUACAAAAGUCUCAACAAGAAUGUUUGUAGAAGCUUUAUUCAUAAUUACCAAAAUUUGGAAACAACCAAGAUAUCCUUCAGUAGGUGAAUUGAUAAAUAACCUCUAGUAUGCCUAGACACUAUGGAAUACUUAUUCAGUGCUAAAAAAAAUGAGCUAUCAAGUCCUAAAAUAGACUUGGAGGAAACAUAAAUGCAUAUUACUAAGUGAAAGAAGCCAAACUAAAAAGGCUACAUACUGUGUAUGAUUCCAACUAUAUGACGUUUUGGAAAAGGCAAAAUCAUUGACAAGAUAAAAAAGAUCAGAGAGGAGGGAGGGGUGUGUGGUCUUGAGCACCAAGGAUUUGGGGGCAGUAAAACUAUUUUGUGUGACACUAAAAUGGUGGAUGUGUGUUGUUAUACAUUUGUUCAGACCCAUAGAAUGUCCACCACCAAGAACGAAUGCUACUGUAAACUUUGAGUACAGUAGGUGGGCUUUGAGUGAUAAUGAUGUAUCAGCGUAGGUUCGUGGAUUGGAACAGUCGUGGGAGAUGACAGUGGAGGAAGCUGUGCCUGUCUUUGUUAGGACAGGGAGUACAUGGGAAAUCUCUAUACUUUGCACUCAAUUUGCAGAGACCCUAAAAUUGCUCUAAAAAUGAAGUCUAUUAAAAAUGCAAGUGGUGGUCCAGUGGUUAGGAAUCCACCUGCUAAUGCUGGAGACACAGGUUCAAUCCCUGGUCUAGGAAGGUCCCACAUGCCGCAGGGCAACUGAGUCCAUGUGCCAUGACUACCAAGCCCACACUCUAGAGCCCGGGAGCCACAACUGCUGAGCCUGUGUGUUACAACUACUGAAACCUGCACACCCAGAGCCUGCGGCCCGCAGCAAAAGAAGCCACCACAACGAGGAGCUGGCCAUCUGCACGUAGAGGAAGCCUGUGUGCGGCAGCGAAGACCCAGCACAGCCAACAAUAAAGAAGAAUUAAAAAAUUUUAAAGACAUGCCAUUUGUAUGGAUUUUUGAGGUGACUUCUUGUGGAAAUUCUUUGAUAUGAUAAAGGGUGUCGGGAAAGGAAAGGAGAAGAAGGAAAGAGCAAAGCAGCUAUGGUGACAAGGCCUGAGUGCAGCAGCCACGAGGAGACUGACGGUGCUUCUCGCUAAGGAUUGUGCAGUGUCCUCCUGUUGAGGGCCAUUCAGAUAGCAGGUUAAGCUUUCCCAGCCUCACCCUAUUCUUGAGUCUCUUCUUCCAACAAGACCAAGGAAGGAGACUGGAGAUGUAUGCUUCUCCCUCUGAGUUUCCAAAAGGCUUUUUAGGGAGAUAGUUCCCCUCCCUUAUCAGAGCUGGGCUGUAUCGAGUCCUGCCUUAUCUGGGAGGACAGCUCAAUUGCAACUGAAUCUGUUUUCUCAGCACAGCUGCUGUAGCCGGAAGGGCCCACUGGCCUGCUCUUCCCUCACUGCCUCUUCCUAGCUGAAUAAGGAGGAGGGUGUACUGAGUGACUUCAGCUAAUAAUUAUGGUGACGUCCAGCAUAUAAUGAUUGCAGGUGUUGUGCCAGGCGAACACUAAGUGUUUUGUAUGGAUUGUCUCAAUCUCAGAAGAAUAACGGCCAGUAGCACUUAGUAAAUGUCAGGCACUGUUCAGACAUAUUAUCCUGAUUUACUUCUAUGAGAACCCUAAAGAGGAGGCUCCGUUAUCUUUCCUGUUUGACAGAUGAGGAAACUAAAGCUUAGAGAACCUAUGUCUCUUGCCCAGUGUCACACAGCCACCGAGUGAUCAAAUUCGAGGGCUCUAGAACAGUCUGUUAAUUUAUAAUUGUGCAGAGUUGUUCCACUACAGUUUUAUUCUCUCUAAAAUAUUUUCUAAAAAUAAAGAAUCCCUGAUAUGACCAUGGGCACAUGUGUUUUUCCCCUGCUUUUGGUGUUCCACAUGAUCAUGGCUAGUGAGAGCUAGUGUAACAAACUACCACACACGCUUAAUUAAUCAGCCCAGGUGAUUGUGUCCCACUCUGAUUGUGAAAGUCCAGAAGAGAAGCAAAACCAAAAUUCGAUACACAACCAGGAUCCCUACGAGUAUGCCAAACGCCCUUUAGAUCUAUUUCUGCUUAUUCUUCCGUGUUUAUUCCUCCCAGGUGUUAGGGUGUCUUCUUUAGCCUCAUUCUUUUGUGCUUUAUCCUGUAGUCACUUCUCUUUUCAUUUUCCAUCUGAGCUAGUUUGAACUUGCCGGCCUCUAAUUUUAGGCCUUUUGCCCUCUCAUCCAAAUCACUUCUGCCAGAAACGCACUACUGCCGGAAUGCUCCUUCUAAAGAACUGGAACUUCUGGAUAAUAAUCUUCACGGUUGGACCCAGGUUUUCCUUCCCAGCCAGACCUUCUACCGCUCCCCAACUUGUCCCCUAAGACCAGCCACACACUGCUGUCCCCCCAAGUCACCCUUCCUAACUGUGCCUCUGCUCAGAUUUCCCCUCUGCCCAAAGCCUUUGGGUCCCACCGGGAGCUCCUUUCCAUCCUCAGUGCUGAAGUCAAGCUAUACUAUUCCAAUUUCUCCAGCCUCUUUUCUUUGAAAUCAUGGAACCUUGGGCACGCUUUAAUCUUAGUGCAAUAGGUACACAUUUCAGCUGACAGUUUUUUUUUUUUUUUCUAUUGACCAAUUUAAUUGACAUUUUGAACUCUCUGCCUCUUGUUGGAUACAUGGUAAAGUGAUGUACUUCUCCCAUCUCUUCUCUGGGCUUAUGUCUAAAGGCUCAGGUAAACCAGAGCACUUAGGUUGGGGAGUGUGGUCUUGGCCAUCACCUCUUCCUUCUGGCCUCCACUUGAUGCCCGAUGUCCUUUGGCUAUCAGCCCAGACAGGUGGCUAUGGUAUCACUCUCCCUCCCAUCUUUGAAGGCCUCUCAGGUUUAGCAAAUGCCUUGUUUUGGUGCCCUUUUUCUUGGGCAUUCAGACAUGUAUGUUCCUAGGCUGUGCCGAGCAAUGGAAAGUUUAGGGUGCCAAGGCCUGCAUCUUUCUGGAUCACUCUCAGAAACAUAAGCCCAUUCUGUUAACUCAGUGAGGCUUUCCUAGCUACAGCUUGCAUUUCUUCGGUGGGGUCUGAAUGCUCCUCCUGGGCUCUCUGAGACACUGAAGCACAAACUGGUGCGUUCCGGGAGCUCUCAGUUAUGUGUGGGAGCCCUGUCAUUGGGUCUUUCCCCGUCCAUGGCCCUUUUCGCAGUCCUGGCUGCAUGUAAGUUCUCCUGUGUUUUUUCUGACUCUUCUUCCUCCCCACACUCUGAGGAAAUGUUAUUCAACAGUCGCUGAGUUGGGUGGAGGGUGUGGGGAGGGUGUGGGAAGUCUCGCUCUAACCCCAUCCUGUCUCUAUGUCCUCAGGCCUAGCCUUUUGAAACUCAAAAACUUUUACCCUGUUUUUUGCUAUCACGGCCUUUGGCAAUGAAUCCCAUAAUGCUAAAGUGGGGCAAAACCUGGGGGUUCUAGAGAUAUAUCUUUAUCUCACUGUCAUGGUUCCAUCUUAUUUGGACAAUAGUAUUCAUUACAUUAAAGGAAAACUUCUACCUUUCCUUUAUGAUAGCUUCUAAGUCAGGACAAAACCCCAGAGAAAAGAUGAAGGAAGUACCUGGAUUUGCCUGAGCUGCAGCAGCAGCAGCAGUAUCUAUCAACAGGCAGAAGGAAGAUGUAAAAAAAAUUUUUGUCCUUAAUUUUACUUUAUUUUCUUCCAGUUAUAUAGAGAUAGAUCUGCCAUACAACACUGUGUAAGUUUAAGGUGUAUAGCAUAAUGACUCAACAUAUGUAUACAUUGCAAAAUGAUAGGAUAUACUCUCUUAAUAACUUUCAGAUAUUCAAAGUGUAAAUUAAAUUGAGCAAUAGAAAAAAAAAUACAUCAGUUGAAAUGUAUACCUGGUACACUAAGACCAAGGUAUGUCUGGGGUCCCCUGAAGGCAUAGGGAAAGAGAGAGAGUAGGAACUCAGUGUCUGGUGAAUGAAUUAAGCAAUUAAAUGAUUAAUGCUAACAGAUUUUGUUUCUCCAGUGCCGACCAUAUGCCAGGUACAACUAACCUUCUCAACAAUCUUACAACAUUUCCCUUAUUUAUACUUAAGGAAAGCAAUAUAGCUCAGAAAGGCAACAUAUUUCAUCCUGGAUUGAACAGCUAAUGAGCAGUAAAUACAGAAUUCUGACCCAAAUCUAUUUGAUCCCCAAUCCUGAAUUCUUUCCGCUGGGCACACUAUGUAAUCAAAUUUAUUUAACCUUUGAGGCGCUUACAGGUACAAAAUCCCAUAUGAAAUAUAUAUAUAUAUAUGCAUGUAUAUACAGAUGCAUAUAUCAUAUAUAUGUAUAUAUGGUGAAGUCUCUUGCUUUCUAAGAAAUUAAAUGCACUUUCCAACCACUGGAAAGGAUUGUUUAAAAAUAUUCUCUUGCUCUGCUAUUCUUAGAAAUUUUUUGUGUUAUUAUUUUCUGGGAAGCUUAUUGAUCCUGCUAAUAUUGAUUGCCUCACUUAUCAAUAACAGUAGGAUGCAAUGUCACGAGUUUACACUAGGAACCUUAACAUUUGCAACUCUGGUAUAUUUCCAUCAAAUGAUGUAUUUAUCAUUUACACCAUUUAGACAUUGGUGAGGAUGAAGAAAAAAAUGUUUGUGUGAGUUACAUGGGGAUAAAUGUUUUCCUUUUGCACUGCCUGGCAAGAUGGUGGCAGUAUUUUUUACAAAUAAGAUAUGUAAUUGUAUGUCUAUUCCAAGCAGCUUGUUUAUAUUUUCCCUCAGGGUUUGACUUUCUUAGAUGUCUAAAACACUCUGAGGGGAGGGAGGGAAUGCCAUAAAUUUUUACAAACAGACAUUGUCCUUGUUUCCCAGGCAAAUUCAAUGCACCUUCUGUUGGGUAAUUGGAAUCCAAGAAGUAACAUGGAGUGUUUUAACAAAAUGUGAAUGAGCUGUAUUUAUAAUGAAACGACAGAGAUUUGGAAACCCAAACUAUUUAUGUGAGAGAAAGUGAUUAAAAAGACACAGUGAGAGAUCAGAGUGUACUGACUCAGUUGUAGAAUUUGGCAUUUAACACAGUAAACAUAGGUGAAUGUGAGUAAGUAUUUCCAGAAGAUGGGUCCCACAGCCUUUCUAUUUCUGGGGUAGCAUCCCACUGCAUUUUGCUGGUGUUGCAUUCUCUUUUGGGGGUGGUGGUGGUUAUAAACUGUACUGUUAAAAAUGGGCUGUAAAUAAAAAGUGUAUCUCAGAAUGGUUCUUUUUCUCUUUCUAUUUUGGGUUAAAUUGAUCAGAAAGAGAUCUUGGGGGAGCUGUGAAUAAGCUUCAUGUUACUUUUUUGCUGCAGUAAUGGCCCCUUUUGCAAAGAGCCAUGUGUCCAUGUGUCUGUAAUUGUGUCUUUAGAACAUCUGAGCUGCUACUGCCUUAUAAAUGCAGUCCCUUCAUAUUUGAGACCACUGUCCCAAGCAGUGCCAAGAACUGAAGGCAAAGGCCAGAUGCCACGUUGCUAGGAGAACCAGGUGACAGGGUUGGGCUGUGCAGUGUGGUGGGAGGAAGAGAGAAAUGCAGCUGGUGAUGUCAAAAGAUCGGUGAGAUUUCCAUUUCCUUUGCUGUUCAUUUUAGAAACAAUUGUUUGAUGACUGUUUACUCAUAGGAAGAUAUAAAUAAGACUGCUGCCCUCCCUCUCUUCUUCCAAGUCAUUCAUUCCAAUUUUCAGUUUUACUGAUUGGUUGUCAUAUCUCUCAAAAUUCUCAGGUUACUGUUUCUUCCAUGUGAGAAGAGUGGUUUUCAACCUUUGGGGAGUCACGUACCUCGGAGAAUCCGGUGAAUGGUAGGACCUUGCUCCUAAUUCACACAUAGUCAGAAUAUUAAGGGUUCUGAGAUCCUCAGAAGUUCAUCUAUGGACCCCUGGUUAAAACCACCAUCCCCUGUGACCUCCUCUCCCCAUUUAUCUGUAGUACCACACCCUGGCUUCUUGUCCUUUUUUAUUUUAUAAAUAUUUAUUUACUUAUUUAUGGCUGCAUCAGGUCUCAGAGCAGCAGGCAGGGUCUUUGGUUGUGGUGCACCAGCUCUCUAGCUGAGGUGCCCAGGCUUAGCUGCUCUGCGGCAUGUGGUAUCUUAGUUCUCCAUUUAGGGAUUGAACCUGGAUCCCCUGCAUUGGGAGGCAGAUUCUUAACCGCUGGACUACAGGGAAAUCCCUUCUUGUCCUUUUAUAGCAUCUUUCAUUUGCAGCGUGGCGAAUUGCUCUAUUUCUAGUGUUGGCUGAACAAAGGUGUGCUAUUUUCUUUUGUAUCAUAGGAGAGCAGGUGGUGUAAGUUUCUCCAGUUCUGCACUCCUUUAGUAUGAAUCUUUUCCCCAUGUUUUUCUGGAAGUGGUGUCUAAUGCAUUCUUCUUUCUACCUGGUGGUGAUGAGACAUAUGUACAACAGUAGAAAAUGAUUAUUGAGUUGAAAUGUUAAGACAUCUUGUAUAUGACUGUCUGUGAUGAUACAUAUGCACAACAGUAGAAAAUGAUUAUUGAGUUGAAAUGUUAAGACAUCUUGUAUAUGACUAUCUAUACUUCCGAACAUGGACUCUCUUGAAUUCAAAGUAUUUACAUAUAUUUACAAAGUGACAUGCGCAUCUGAUGGAGUCUUUGACAGUAGAGCUAAAUAUAGUUAACUGGUUCCCACGGGAAUCCAAUCUCUGAUUAGACAAUAGGUCUUGAACUGCUAGAGAAAAGCUAAAUGUGUUUCUGAAACUACAAUAUAUCUGAAAAAUAAUGUAGAUUUUCAGGAUUGUGUGUCCAUCCACUCCAAUUUGAACAGUGCUGAUUUAUGAGGCUAAAAUCUUAUUAUAAGAAAUUGUUUUUUAGUUGCUAAUUAUAAAUGAAAAAGAAUUAUAGUGUUAGGCAGAAUAUUGCCUCUCCUCCCCACCCUCCACCCAAGAAGACAUCCAUACCCUAAUCUCCCAAACCUGUAAAUAUGGUCAAAGGGACUUUGCAAAUGUGAUUAAGUUUAAAGACUUUGAAGUAGGGAGAUUUCCAGUUGGGCCCAGUCUAAUUACCUGAAUUCCUUAUACUUGGAGAAUCUUUCCAGGCUAUGAUUAGAGAAAGAGAUGCGGUAGCAGAAGCAGGGUUACAAAGAUGCUGCAUCACUGGCUCUGAAGAUGGACGAAAGAGGCUACAAGCCAAAGAAUGUGGAUGCCCUCUCAAAGCUGAAAAGGCAAGAAAAUGGAUUCUUUCCUAAAGCCCUCAGAAAGGAGCCCAACCUGGUUGACAUCCUGACUUUAGCCCAGUGAGACCUGUGCCAAACUUCUGACCUUCCAAACUAGAAGAUGAUGAAUUUGUGUUGUUUUAAUCCACUAAGUUUAUGGUAAUUUGUUGCAGCAGCAAGGGAAAGCCAAUACAGUUCUGUUGUUACAAUUGUAAAAUAGUGGGAAAAUAUGCAAUUAAUGUAAAUAUGCAAACGUUUAAAAACUUCUAUGUGAUUCAUGAACCCUUGGGUCUCAGAGUGAGAAGCACUGCUGUGUUUGACUUUUUAAGAAGUCAGUAAGAGGAUCCAUAGAUUUUCUUCAUGUGUGCUUUUGUUGGGUGGUUUGUAAAUUCUUUAAUUUAUUGCUUUAAAUCUGGUAAGUCCAUUUUGGGAAACAGACCUCUUUUCCCAUGUGCUGAGCCACCUUCCCUUGUAUUGUUCGAACUUCUCUCUCAGCACUCGGUUACCAAAUAGUAACCCAUGAAUGAUGUAUCGUUGUAUCUAGUGAUGUUUUAGUAAUAAGUAAUACAUUUUUUAGUAAUAGGUAAUAAGAUCUUAGUAAUGCAUUCUAUAUUCAUCAGAAGCUCUGCAUUCCUUUUUUUUUUUGCAUGAUUCACAUUUACUCUGUUUAGGAUGAAAUAGCAGUUUGGUUUAUCUGCAGUGAUUUUUUUUUUUAAAUCUAAUACAAAUUUAACUAGUUGUUAGUAAUAUCGUGAAAUGUAAUUGUGUUAUCUCUAGGAAUAACUCAUUUGUACAAGAGGGAAAAUAUGCACCUCUUUCAGAUAAUAUUGUUGUCUCAUCUCUGUCAAAAUUUAUUGAUAAAUUGAUUUUAAGAAAGAGGAGAAAGGGAAAGAAGGAGAGAAGGAGAGAGAGAGACAGAGAGACUAAGAAAGGAUCUUGACAGGCCAUCUCUUUCUUCAAGCAGAAAUGUAUUUAAGAGACACUGAACAGAUAAAUAUCUAUCCUAGGGAAGGAAAUGGAAUUUUGUCCCCCCUAAGGGAGCCCUAAAUAUAUUUCAGCUAGUUCAUUUGCAUGAGUCAUUUACAUUGAUUUCCAUGAACCAUUCCUGGGUCUCUGUUCUCCAUAUAACCCUUGACUUAACAAAAUCUCUCUCUCUGUCUCCCCCCUGUUCCCCCUUCCCUCUCUCUUCCCCCUAUUUAUCAUUCAUUCCAUUCAUAUUGAAUGUCUACUCUGAGAAUGACUCUGUGAAGGCAUUAUGGGAAUCUCUGAGAAAUAAAUUCAGAGUCUCACCCACAAUUUACAGUAUUCUGGGGGAGAGCAUGGGCCUAAGGAAGGUGAAAUGACAAGAGGUGUUUAUAAAGUGUCAUGCAAGGCAGUGUCAGUGGAGGGUAAUAAUAGCUGAAAGCGUGGGUCAUGGGAUGGCAGAAGCAGCGUCUGAGUACCCCACUAAUGUCAGGCUCCAAGUGUAUGUUUUCUCUCUUCAUCCUCAACAAACUUUUGAAAGAGAUUAUCCCCAUUUAUGUAAUUCUGGAGCAUUGAACUCAGUAUUCCAACUGACUCAGGUUCACUUGAGUUGAAAAUUCAACUUCAUCUCAUUGGGACGCACUGUCGUUGAUGUGCCAACAUAGACGUGUUCCUUGUGGAUCUCAAGUCUUCCCGGAGGACGUGACUCAUUUAUCAAGCAUCUGCUACUCGCCAGGUGGAGGAAUUCAAGCAGAGAGCCCAAAGCCUGUGUGCAAAGAGCUCAUGAUUGCAAAGGAAUCCAAGGAUCUUAGAGAUGAGAGUUACUCAUUUUAUGAGAGAGAGAAAAAAACAGAGAGAGAGACAUAGAAAGUAUCCAGAUGUAACAAGUACUGUGUCGUCCUUGUCUGACCAGAAAAGUGCAGAAGGAAACUAUUCCUCCUUUACCAUUGCUGCAUGGAAGUUUCACAGAGGUUUGGAAUUCUGUUGCUCUGGUGAUAUACUAACUAAUGAGAAAAGAUUGUGCUUACAGUUACUGUGUGACCUUUGGGGAUAGUUUGUAGAAUCACUGGUUAACUAGGUCAACUCUGUCCAUAUGGUAUCAUUAUGGUCAUUCUGCCUGGAGAGGAAUAGCAAACUAGAAAUCAAAGCUAGAAAGAAAAGGAUGAGGUAGCGUGUAGUCUCUGACUGCCUGAGGUGACCUGAGCUGCUGCACAGUGGCAGCCAUACCUACAAUAGGCAGGGAAGGCCAAGGUCAGAGUAGCAAACUGCUCCCUGCUACAUCCCUACUAACCUCGUUCCAGAUCUUGGAUAUAAAACAAGCUUGGUUUUCAAUUUUCCCAGCUGCAGAGGCAUCAACUUAAGGCUCCUUUUAGGUGGUCUGCCUCUUGUUUCUCCAAUAUUAAUUCAGAAGAUCAUUUAUAAGUCUUUUGAUCAACCCAUUAGAUGUUUUCCUUGGUAUCUGAACAAUUACCACGAAUUCCUGAAGGCCAAAUACAUAAUUCUGAACAAAAUAUUGAAGACAGUUUCAGGUUUCAUAACUUGAAUUUGGGGAUAAUUGUUUCCAUGUAUUUCCUGCUGAUGAAUCAACCUAUAGUCAUUUAAUAGGUUGAUUUAAAACAAUUUUUUUUUCUUUUCACAGUUUUGUUUUUCUAUUACAUACGUGUUUCUCUUUAUCCCACAUGGAAUAUUCUGUUCUCCAAGUGAAUUCAUGAAUGGGAAAGAAGAGAGGACAAAGCAAUGAAGUACUGAGCAUGGAGUGAGUUGGGGCAAAUCCUAAGGCUGUUCACACAUGAAGGAACAACAGGGGUUGAGUGUGUGCCUGGUGGGAGCACGUGGUGGCUGAGUCAUGUGGGGACUAGGGUUCCACACUGGGAUCAGAAGCUCUUGGCAGAUUAGCAAGAGUUUAUCUGUGAGUGUUUUCUGAAGUCACUGGGGUGCCUAAACCAUGCCCUCUAAUCACACAACAAUAUCACAUCCCAUGACUCAACUUUUAAGACUCUUUUUGAUUCAUGAUCAUUAUUGCCCCAUAAAGAUAAUUUCCUGAACCGUUUAUAGUUUAGAAAAAAACUUGCAAGAAGGUUGAAUAGUACAAGGUAGCGUCUAUAGUUACUUCAUUCAGCAUCCCCGUACGGAAUACCUGAUAUGUAUUGGCCCUUUUUUUUUCCCUAGGAACUAGAGAUAGUAAUAGGCCCCUUAUCCAUGAAGCUUACAUCCUAGUGGUGGGUGGGGAGUGGUGCAGAUGGACAUUCAACAGAUAAGCCAAUAAACAAAUAUGGUGAUUUCUGAUGGUGAUGUUUACCAAGGAAAUAGACCUGGGAGUUAUGAUUGCAAGUGAUGAGAAUGAGGUGGAGGUGGGGGAAUUCCAGGCAUUGACAGAGGGAACCGAAUAUGCAAAAACAUAGCAGCAGACAACAGUGACUUCCAUCCUUGAUUCAUCAGCCUCAAAGGGUUUCUGGGAACAGUGGGAGAAGUUCUGACACCACCGAGGGCCCUCCUGUCAGCUGCUUCACAUCAAGGGAAGUCCAAGCACCCCAGGCAGCCUGGCCUCAGCGAAGUACAAAGAAGACCAGGGAAAGAGGUCAAUGGAAAUUCACCCAUAUCCGCUUCUUCAUUUUACUAUUUCACCUCUCCUUUUAGCUCUAGCCACUUCAGAAAAAAAAAAAAAAAUCUCUUCUUUAGGGCAGCUGCAUACACAGUCCCCAGGGAAAUGCUGAAUAAAAGUGUUUGAGGAACUUGUG